GUCGCAGUUACGAACUGCACCUGAGCUAAGUCGGUCAUAUUAACAACAAGUGAGGACGCGUGCGCCAGCGCAUGUUUCCGUGUGAAUUGUAAUAUAAUAAAAUAGAUUUUCCUAUAUGUAAAUCGAGGGAACAUUUUUUGUUUUUAAGACAUGAUGUCUUUGUGUUCUUAAAUUAUAGUCCAAGUGUUUUUUUGUUUUGUUGUUAGUAUGAAUUACCGAAUGAUGGUAGUGGUAUUAUGCGCGUCUAUGAUUUUUGCGCAAAAUUGCAAAGUUGGCGGGAAACGGUGCAAUGAUCACGAACAAUGUUGCGGAGGAUGCUGUUUUGACGGCGUGUGCAUAGACACAUACAGAUCCUGUUACUCCACGCUGGACGUGUGCAGGGACCACUCCUGCAUCGGAGAGGAGAACUGUUUUGCCUUCGUCCCGCCACAAUGCGUCGCCUGCGAACCCAUAGCUUUAUGUAGAACUUAGAAUAUCUUGGUCAUCUGUUGUCUUGCUAAAAAUUUUCCAUAGAAAACAAUAGCAUGAUCUCCAUUUAAAUUUUCAUGCCCAUAGCCGAUGAAAUGUGAAGGAUCAGUUUUAUUUCAACACCACAUUGUAUAUAAUAUAAACUCAUGUUAUUUGAAAAUAAAUAUCUUUGCCUUUGAAAACUCAAA